UCCCUGGUGGCUCAGAGGUUAAAGCGUCUGCCUCUGAUGUGGGAGACCCAGGUUCGAUCCCUGGGUUGGGAA